rnacentral:rRNA from 1 species
GCAAGUCGAACGAAGUAGCAAUACUUAGUGGCAGACGGGUGAGUAACAUGUGGGUAUCUGCCCUUUGGCCUGGAAUAACACGAGGAAACUUGUGCUAAUACCGGAUAAGUCUUUACGGAGAAAGCUUUAUGCACCAUUGGAUGAGCCUGCACUUGAUUAGUUUGUUGGUGGGGUAAUGGCUCACCAAGGCGACGAUUCGUAGCUGGUCUGAGAGGACGAUC